CCUACGGGCGGCAGCAGUGAGGAAUAUUGGUCAAUGGACGAGAGUCUGAACCAGCCAAGUAGCGUGAAGGAUGACUGCCCUAUGGGUUGUAAACCUCUUUUAUAAAGGAAUAAAACGAGGCACGUGUGCCUUUUUGCAUGUACUUUAUGAAUAAGGAUCGGCUAACUCCGUGCCAGCAGCCGCGGUAAUACGGAGGAUUCGAGCGUUAUCCGGAUUUCUUGGGUUUAAAGGGAGCGUAGAUGGGUUGUUAAGUCAGUUGUGAAAGUUUGCGGCUCAACCGUAAAAUAGCAGUUGAUACUGGCAGUCUUGAGUACAGUUGAGGUAGGCGGAAUUCGUGGUGUAGCGGUGAAAUGCUUAGAUAUCACGAAGAACCCCGAUUGCGAAGGCAGCUUACUAAACUGUGACUGACAUUGAUGCUCGAAAGUGUGGGUAUCGAACAGGAUUAGAUACCCGAGUAGUC
rnacentral:rRNA from 1 species